rnacentral:misc_RNA from 1 species
AUAUACAGGAAAGAUCGAAUACCCGAUACGAAAUCUCUCUUAAAUUCAAAAAUAUGAUGGUGCGCAAUGUCAAAUUAGUUUUUCUAAAGUAGUUGUUACAACUUUGCCCACCAAAAUAUUAUCGUUAAGGUUGUCACCUCAAUGUUAAAAUUGGAUUCGAGAUGAGUAGAUACUUAUUUUUUUGACAUUAAUUUCGAAAUUACAUACCUAAAUAGUGAUUUUAUAAUCCUUUGUUUUCAUUAAUUUUGUAAUUCAAUUUUGUAAUCAACAUAUGAGCUAAAAAUGAAAAUUUCGUUGAAAAAGUACAUUGAAUGUAUUUGCAACAUAAUUAGGGUGAUUUUGGAUAAGGGUAUUUGUUAAUUUUGCUGAAUUUAUUUAUUUUUAAAUUUAUCUCAGGUUGCAUAGUACUAAGCCUAAAAACACAAGAAAAAAAAAGAAUAUUAGGAUAGAAAUACCGAAAUUAUUCAGAGGAAAUGGACGAUUUAGCGGUUGACAUGGUAGAAAAUAACAGGAUGUCAAAUCGGGAGGCAGAAAAGAGGUUCGGGAUCCCUCGAUGAACGGUAUUAAAUAAAGUUAAGAAAAUUCACUUAAAAUCACUUGGAGAACAAACCAAUCUCACUGACGAAGAGAAAGAAAAUUGACAAACGUGUUGUUAGCUCCAGCAGAUUAUGGCAGCCCCAUGACU